GUGAGGAAUAUUGGUCAAUGGACGGAAGUCUGAACCAGCCAUGCCGCGUGCAGGAAUAAGGUCCUAUGGAUUGUAAACUGCUUUUAUUCGGGAAUAAACCUCUUUACGUGUAGGGAGCUGAAGGUACCGAAGGAAUAAGCACCGGCUAACUCCGUGCCAGCAGCCGCGGUAAUACGGAGGGUGCAAGCGUUAUCCGGAAUCAUUGGGUUUAAAGGGUCCGCAGGCGGGCUAUCAAGUCAGAGGUGAAAUCCCACAGCUUAACUGUGGAACUGCCUUUGAAAAUGAUGGUCUUGAAUUAAGUGGGCGUUGGCGGAAUAUGACAUGUAGCGGUGAAAUGCAUAGAUAUGUCAUGGAACACCGAAAGCGAAGGCAGCUAACGAUACUUAUAUUGACGCUCAUGGACGAAAGCGUGGGUAGCGAACAGGAUUAGAAACCCGUGUAGUCC
rnacentral:rRNA from 1 species